AUGGACGUUUCCGGUUUCCUGAUGGAGACCUUUGAAAGGAUCGCCCUUCAUUUCUGCAGCACGGCCAAUGUCCCUGAAGUUGAGGCCAGGUCAGGGGACUGGGUCAGCGCCAAGCUAUGCGAAGGAGGCUGGAGGACCCCAGCAAGGGAGCCACAGAACGAACCCAGGGCUCGACGUGUCCUCUCCCACAGGACGACAAACCAUGGCUCAGCACGCGCUCCGCCUCUGCCUCCACCACACAUGGGGCUCCAGGAUCCCGGAGGACCGGGGAGGGGACAGCACCCAGACGUCCGUGCCCUGGGCACCUCUGCUCCCCAGCUCCUUCUUACCUCCACCCUGGGUCCCAGCCUUGCAGACACACACACAGAUGCACAUACAUGCAGACACACAGGCACACAUCAAACACACAUGCAAACACACACAUAGAUACUUAUGUGCAGGCACACACACGCAGACACAGGCAUGCGGGCACGUGCAGACAUGCAGAGAGACACCAUGUAGACACACGUGCAGACGCAUGGACACACAAAUAGGCAUACACGCAGGCACACACACAGUCACACUUGCAGAUACACACACACAGGCAAGACACACAAGUGGUACACGGCACGUGCAUGCAGGCACAGACGCACAGCAGCCAUCCACAGAUUCAGGCCAAUCAACUUCCGGUGCCAUACCACUUGGCAAAUCCUCACCUCACACACGUACACACACACACACAUGAGUGUGAGGGGCAGGUGACCCUACGGGGCCGAGCUGGCAUGUACUCAGAGCCAGAUGUUGUAAGAGCUUUACCCUGAACCCCUGCUGCCCCUGCUGUGGGUGCUGGACACC
rnacentral:lncRNA from 1 species